rnacentral:rRNA from 1 species
GAUGAACGCUAGCUACAGGCUUAACACAUGCAAGUCGAGGGGAAACGGCAUCGUAAGCUUGCUUUUGAUGGGCGUCGACCGGCGCACGGGCGAGUAACGCGUAUCCAACCUGCCCAUCACUUGGUAAUAACCUUGCGACAGUAAGACUAAUGCCCAAUGACAUGCCACGUAGGCCUCCGAAUGGGAUUAAAGUUUUAUCGGUGAUGGACGGGGAUGCGUCUGAUUAGAUUGUUGGCGGGGUGACGGCGCACCAAGGCAACGAUCAGUACGGGUUCUGAGAGGAAGGUACCUCACAUGGGAACUGAGACACGGUCCAAACGCCUACGAGAGGCAGCAGUGACGAACGUUGGGCAAUAGGCGGGAGUCUGAGACAACGAAGUCGAGUGUAAGAGAACCGCGCUAUGGGUUGUAAGCUGGUUUUAGAAGGGUAUAGAGUGGGUAACGGGGGACUUUUUGCAUGUACCAGAUGAAUAAGCCCCGGCUAAUUCCGUG